GCCGCCAUAGCUCAGCUGGUAGAGCACCUGAUUUGUAAUCAGGGGGUCACAGGUUCGAGUCCUGUUGGCGGCACCG
rnacentral:tRNA from 1 species